GUUUAAAUGACAUAAUGGUGGGUACUAUGUAAGAGGACUUCGGGGUCACUCCAGGAUUAGGGGAGCAAUGAGGAACGCUAAAUCCUUUUCUUUUUCCCAAAGGAGCAAAGAAUGCCAGUGGCCUCCAUCUGUAACCACUAUGCCUUCUGGCCAUGACCUCAGAGGAUUUGAACAGUCCUUGAAUCUUCACUGGCCUCAGCGUAAGAGAGAAACUCCCAAAACCAAGAGGAUGAAAAUGAAACCCAAAGAUGCCUGGACUUCUCCCUCACCCUGGAACCAGUUAUAUCCUGCCUAGUGGAGUCCUGAAUGAAGGAGGCCUCCUCAUCCCCUACUCCAGAAUGCAGGUUGUAUCUUCUUCUGUUAACUCUCUCUAAAUUGUUUCUGAUGCCUAAACUAAUUU
rnacentral:lncRNA from 1 species